rnacentral:lncRNA from 1 species
UUUUCCUUGAACCUCAGUCCCUCCGCCAUCUGCCGGCGGCGAUGCUUCGAUGGCCCCCAAAAUUACACCACCUCAUCUCCUAAGCCUCCUCUUUCCAUUUCUGUAACCAGUGUCCCUAAAACAUUAGCCGAACUUGUCGAAUAUUGGUUUGAAGUAGAGGCUGCUCCGCCGCCCACGGCGGCGCCGAUGCCAAACCCCACCAAAAUCACACCCCUGACUCUCCUCAACUCCCUCUUCCCAAAUCCCUGAUUAGUUUCCUUCAAAUCUCGCCUGAUGUUCUCGAAUUUAAAAUCAAAGAAGGGCAGAACCCUAGAAUGUUGAAGCUGUUUGAUUUCUUCCUAAUUUCUUGAGUCUAGAGUUUGAUUCGAGUAACGAAACAAUGUUUUUGUUUGUUUUUGGUGCAGAACAAACGUUUACCAUUAUUCCGUGGCUCGAAUAAGAGUCUAGCCUUGUUCAACCUUGCGCAGGCAAGUCUUCCUAUUUUUCCUUUAUUAUUUGAAAUUCCUUGUUAUUAGAAAUUAGUUUAAACUUUGCUCUCUGUUAAUCCUUUCAUCAUGCAGUGUUCUACGUCCAUUUAGUUUUAUUAACAUAUGCCUUAAGUCUUUAAUUUUCAUUUCUUAUUCAUUAGUUUAGUUAGAUAACUUGAUUAGUAUAUCUACAUGUUCUUCGAUUUUUGUUUGCCAAGUGUUUUAGAUUUUCUUUUUCACUUUAUGUUGAUUUUGUGCUAAUUAUUGGGUUUGGUAGAUAAUAUAGUUAAUUCUGUUUGAUUCUAUAGUUAGCUCUAAAUUCUGUUAAUUAAUUCGAAGCCUAAAUAAGGUUAGUUGAAUUGUUAGGGUUUAAUUCAAGCUUAAGUUAGGUUUAGUUUAAUUUUUGGAAGUUUUUGUUAAUUAAAGCGUUGUUUGAUUGUUGCUGAAAAUUUUAAGGCCCUUAUUAGUUAACCAUGGUCAUUUUUGACCAAGUUCAAAGGGCUAGGGUUAGUUUAACCUAAGUUUGUAAUUUCAGACAUAGUUCAAGGGUAAUUGGGGCAAUUUCAAAUGAAGAAUAAUGCAGUAACUGAAAUUGGAAACCCCUAGAACAUUCUGGAUGGGGUUCCAGCUAGGAUUUCAGAGAACUUAGUGAUAUAACUUUGCCAACAAGGCAUAAAAUAAGGGACUAACUAGCUAAAGCUGGGAAAUAAAAGAGGGGUUGAGGGUGUAAAGUAAAAUCUAAAAGAAGCCCUAAGUUUUGCCUAUAAAAAGGCAUAUCCAUGCCUUGUUUUACAAGUUUUAAAAGCUUGGGAGAAAAAGAAAAAGAGGUUGAAACAAUUUAGAUAUACAGAAAUUUCGAAAUAGCUUGAGAGUUAGUAAGUGAUUUCAGAUUUGGGUGUCCUGGCUGUUAGAAAUUAGUAUCAGUUUCUCAGAUUACAUUCCUAGGGGUUUUGAACUAUUGAGUCUACUGUUUCAUUGAAUUUUGGAGUCAUUUUCUGGGUUUUAACAUUGGUCCGUGGUUGUGUUGUUGCUGUUGCUGAUCCCUGCUAUUCCCUUUUGCUGAUCUCACUAUUUUCCUUGUUUCAAUCUCCAGGUAUUUACCUCACACCUUAAUGUAUGAAACUGGGAGAACUUGAAGUUGGCUUAUUCAAGUUGGAAUUUGUAUUUGAGCAGUGAUAUAACAAGGAAUUUG